rnacentral:rRNA from 1 species
UACGUAGGGGGCAAGCGUUGUCCGGAAUUAUUGGGCGUAAAGAGCGUGUAGGCGGCCAGAUAAGUCCGCUGUGGAAAUCUCGAGGCUCAACUUCGAGCUGUCGGGUGGAAACUAUCUGGCUAGAGUCCGGAAGAGGAGAAUGGAAUUCCUGGUGUAGCGGUGAAAUGCGCAGAUAUCAGGAAGAACACCCGUGGCGAAGGCGGUUCUCUGGGACGGUACUGACGCUGGAGACGCGAAAGCGUGGGGAGCGAACAGG